rnacentral:lncRNA from 1 species
CAGAUUUGGUGGAUUUGUAGAUAUUGCACAACCACCUGCCUCGGUUUUGUCAGAUUUGUUUCUGUUUCUUAAGUUAACAGUACAGUUAUCCAUAAGGAUGCCUCUUGGUGGUUUCUUCGGGAUUAUUAAGAGAGAGCAGCAAUGGUUUUUGGAACUUGCCUUGUACCCAAACUCGCUGCAUUUUCACUUUUUUCUUCCUAUUUACUUGUAAUCGACGAUCAACUAAAUUCUGUAUUUCAGUUAAUCCAGCCAAAGUGAACAUGUUCUGUACCUCUUCUGUUUCCUUUGGUAAAGAAAUAUACUCUGGUUCCAUCUCCUCGUACAUAAAAAUUUUCUGACAAGCAAUGACCUUUUUUAAAACGAAGUUGAGCUGUAUCGUAUCUUCCAUAGUCUCG